rnacentral:rRNA from 1 species
GAAGGAUCAUUACCGAACUGUCGACACGAGUUGUUGCUGGUCCUCAAACGGGGGCAUGUGCACACUCUGUUUGCAUAUCCACUCACACCUGUGCACCCUCCAUAGUUCUAUAGCCCUGGGGGCCUUAAACCCCCAGCUGUGGUCCUAUGUAUUUACACAUACACUGUAAUAAAGUCUUAUGGAAUGUAUGCCGCGUUUAACGCAAUACAAUACAACUUUCAGCAACGGAUCUCUUGGCUCUCGCAUCGAUGAAGAACGCAGCGAAAUGCGAUAAGUAAUGUGAAUUGCAGAAUUCAGUGAAUCAUCGAAUCUUUGAACGCACCUUGCGCCCUUUGGCUAUUCCGAAGGGCAUGCCUGUUUGAGUAUCAUGAACACCUCAACUCUCAUGGCUUGCCCAUGAUGAGCUUGGACUAUGGGGGUCUUGCUGGCCUGCGGUCGGCUCCUCUCAAAUAAAUCAGCUUGCCAGUGUUUGGUGGCGUCACGGGUGUGAUAACUAUCUACGCUUGUGGUUUUCCACCAGGUAAACCUUCAGCGAUGGAGGUUCGCUGGAGCUCAUAAAUGUCUCUCCUCGGUGAGGACAGCUCUUUGAACGUUUGAUCUCAAAUCAGGUAGGACUACCCGCUGAACUUAA